GUGAAUCAUCAAAUCUUUGAACGCAAAUUGCACUUUCUGGUAUGCCGGAAAGUAUGCCAGGUUGAGGGUCAGUAAAAUAAAAAUCGGUGUUGUUGCGGGUUUGCGUGGUGAGGCGACGGAAUUAAGUUGUAUUACUUACGGUUAAGAGACUUAAAAAUUUGCAUGAUUGGCGAAAGGAAUGAAAUUACGUACGAACGUUUGAGAUGUCGAAGACUUUA
rnacentral:misc_RNA from 1 species